rnacentral:lncRNA from 1 species
GGUCGCCGGCCCAGAUGCGUUCCUGUGUUGUUAUGUAGUGGAGGGUCACGUUCCUUCCUGCAAAUUCUGGAAGGUUCUUGAGUUCAAUUAGGACAGUGGCUGCGGAAUUCCUGGUGUCCGGCCUGAGGUGCCCGCUGGCCUAGCAGAGGCGCCGAGGGCGCUGCCAUGUUUGGCUGCCUGGUGGCGGGGAGGCUGGUGAGGAUGGCCCGGGCGGUGGCAGGAAGGGGUCGGUGACUGAGAGCUGGGUGGUGGCACGGUGCACGGCGCUUGGAACGCGGGGAAACCUGGUCAUUGUGCUUUUUUUCCUGGGCGUGUGCGACGGACGGGCAAUGGGACGCUGGCCCCACUCUUAGCUGUGUUUGCGAGGCUGUCAGGAUGUGACUGCAUUUUGUUGAGUGCGGAUUUUGUUCCACCUGCUGGGUUGAGUGCUGUAGUUACUUGUUAAUUUCAGCCUUCUGUACGGCAUUUCGCCGUAACCGUGGUAACUCGUGAGCUAGUCUUUCUCUCUUUGCUGUUCAGGAACGUACACUCAGUAGAUAGUGUAGUAAUUACUCUUGUAAAUUGAUAAUGCUACUUAGAAGUAAAGCUGAGAUUUGUAAUCUAAAGCUAAGUGGUUUUCGGAAAAAUUCAAUUUUCCGGACAAUGAAGGUGUUUUGUUUUGUUUUUCCUUUUUGGUGUCUUUGGAAGGCCCCCCCCCCCCUUUCAGAAGUUUACCGACCCAGUUUAAAAUACAAUAAUUGCAAGUUGCUUAAUAGAAAUGACUGAAAUUUAGGUGUGAGCCGUACCUGUGAUAACUAAAGGAUUCGAGUACAAUGCUUUCUUUUUGGUCAGAGAGAUGCCCUUGCUUAGCCAGAGCCUUAGAAUGAAAUGAAAUGAAAUGAGUGCGGGAGUGGUUGAGGAGUAACCAGAGUGAAUCUUGUUUGCUCUUUAGAAACCAGCGAUGUAUCCGUCUUGAGACGUGACUCCUUUCUCUUUAGAGCUAUUCUUGUUUUGUUUCUCCUUGUUUUGUUAAAUACUGCAACCUCUUUGUUAAAUUGUGCCUCACGUGUGGUAAGCGAGAGCUCCACGCCUCCGUUUUCACCAGCUUUUGAUAAUGUAUUCUAUACACGCUGCUCUUAAGAAAAACACGUGGUUCCAAGAAACCAUGGACUUCUGUCUGCAGUGAAUGGGAGGCUCCUGUGGAGGUGAGGUAGUGCUAACCCUGGUCAAUAGCUUUUGGAAUGUCCCAGUAGGAGCUCUGGGGUUUGGAAGAUGAAAGAAACAAUUUGAGAAGAACGUGUUCCUCAGAUGUCUGCCAUUAAUAAAGCCCAGCUUCGUGUCUUACACCUGUAUUUCCAGCUCUUCAGAAGGCUGAGGGAGGAGACCCACAGUUGCAAGGCUAGACCCUGGCUCUAAAACAGUGGUGGGGUAGUUCAGUAGUUAAAACACUUUUUUCCUGUCUUUUUUGAGACCGGUCCUUCUCUCUGUACGCCUGGCUGGCUGUCCUAGGACUCUGCAGACCAGGAUGGCCUUGAACUCAGAGAUCCAAGUGCUGGGUUAAAGGUGUGUGCCAGCACAGCCAGCUCAGAAUUAUUGUAAGCCCAAAAUGUGGCCUCAAACCCCAUUACCACAGAACGAAACAAACCAAUGAAACCCUAUGUAGAGUCUGUGUUAUGUUGUGAGCUAAUCUGGAAGGGAAUUUCCGGCUAUAUGCUUUAUUUGCCCAACAUUAAAUUUAUAUGAUAAAUAUCCAGUGGAUAUUUCUUUAAGACAAGAUUUUUUUGGGGGCUUGGAAUUGUAUAUCAUUAGACAUAAAUGAAAAUGAAGGACAAAUAGAACUACUAGCAUCUCAGAACUUAACUCCAUUCUUUUGCUAGAAAAACCACCUAUUGAAACUUACAAACCUAAUUUUCAUUCUUUGAGUCUUUUCUUUUUCCUUUUAUUUCUAUAAGACAGGAUUUCUCUGUGUAGUUCCAGGUGUCCUGGAAGUUUGCUCUAUAGAACGGGCUAGCCUCAAACUCAGAUCUGUCUACCUCUGCCUCCCCAGUGCUGGAGGAUUAAAAGCCUUCGUCACCACAACCUUAGGUUUUUUUUAUAACAUUUAUUUAUUUGAUAUAUUUAAGUACACUGUAGCUGUCUUCAGACACACCAAAAGAGGGCAUCAGAUUCCAUUACAGAUGGUUUGUAAGCCACCAUGUAGUUGCUGGGAAUUGAACCCAGGACCUUUGGAAGAGCAGUCGGUGCUCUUAACUAGCCCUAGGUUUUUUUGUUUUCUUCUUAAGGAAAAAGAACUCAAAGAAAGGAAAGAUUCUCCUACCCCCAUUUUUUGUUUAAUUAAAGUCAAGGAUUAGACUGUGUAGUUGGAUAUGGUGACACACAGCUGUAAUUCUAGUACUUGGGAGGUGGAGACAGGAAUUUGAGGUUGGUCUUGAUUGACUAUGUAGAUCACUCAAGGCCAACUUGGGCUACCUGCAUAAGAUCCUGUCUUUUAAAGGGGAUUGGAAUGUGGUACACAUUUACAGAAUGUCUCUUGCCUGUGCAAUAAAAGUUGAAACAAAU